rnacentral:rRNA from 1 species
UGCAGUCGACGGCAGCACAGAGGAGCUUGCUCCUUGGGUGGCGAGUGGCGGACGGGUGAGGAAUACAUCGGAAUCUACUCUGUCGUGGGGGAUAACGUAGGGAAACUUACGCUAAUACCGCAUACGACCUACGGGUGAAAGCAGGGGACCUUCGGGCCUUGCGCGAUUGAAUGAGCCGAUGUCGGAUUAGCUAGUUGGCGGGGUAAAGGCCCACCAAGGCGACGAUCCGUAGCUGGUCUGAGAGGAUGAUCAGCCACACUGGAACUGAGACACGGUCCAGACUCCUACGGGAGGCAGCAGUGGGGAAUAUUGGACAAUGGGCGCAAGCCUGAUCCAGCCAUACCGCGUGGGUGAAGAAGGCCUUCGGGUUGUAAAGCCCUUUUGUUGGGAAAGAAAUCCAGCUGGCUAAUACCCGGUUGGGAUGACGGUACCCAAAGAAUAAGCACCGGCUAACUUCGUGCCAGCAGCCGCGGUAAUACGAAGGGUGCAAGCGUUACUCGGAAUUACUGGGCGUAAAGCGUGCGUAGGUGGUCGUUUAAGUCCGUUGUGAAAGCCCUGGGCUCAACCUGGGAACUGCAGUGGAUACUGGGCGACUAGAGUGUGGUAGAGGGUAGCGGAAUUCCUGGUGUAGCAGUGAAAUGCGUAGAGAUCAGAGGAACAUCCAUGGCGAAAGCAGCUACCUGGACCACACUGACACUGAGCACGAAGCGUGGGGAGCAAACAGAUUAGAUACCCUGGUAGUCCACGCCCUAACGAUGCGACUGAUGUG